rnacentral:rRNA from 1 species
UACGAGGGGGGCAAGCGUUGUUCGGAAUUAUUGGGUUUAAAGGGUGCGUAGGCGGCCCUGUAAGUCAGUGCUGAAAUAUCCCAGCUUAACUGGGAGGGUGGCAUUGAUACUGCGGGGCUAGAGUACAGAUGAGGUAGGCGGAAUUGACGGUGUAGCGGUGAAAUGCUUAGAUAUCGUCAAGAACACCUAUAGCGAAGGCAGCUUACUAGGCUGUAACUGACGCUGAGGCACGAAAGUGUGGGGAUCAAACAGG